AUUGUUUACCAUUAAAAAUUUAUGUUUGAGUUACCCAUUAAAUUAGCCGCUUCUGUUGUUGGCAUAGUCGAUAAGCCUCAGAAUUACCAAGAACCUAUUAAUCUGCGAUGGACCGACAUUACAAGAUUGAGGACUUUGAAUGCUCAAUUGAGGCAAAACGUCUAGCCCGUUUUGAAGAGUACACGAGUCUGGGGUUGAUGGGCAAACCCAAAGAUAAUCUAAAACCAGAUGGCUCACUGAGGUUAAUGAUUAAGACCAGUCAACAGAAUUUGCUAAUGAUGUGCAAUGUGCCAACAAUGGUAGUCCUAGGUCUGAUCAUUGGAUGGCACUGUGAACAAUAUUUCAGGGAGACUUCUGAGUUCCAUUUUUUUUUAAUGAACCCAUCCAAGUGUUUAUAUAAAUGAGGUGUUUUCAUUUUCAAAACACUUAUUUCAAGAUUUUGUUCAUUCUUGAUUCUUACAAUACUUGCCAGAAGGGAAGUAAGGUGUUCCCUACUCAAGGGUGACUCUUCUUGAGAAGUGCAUUUACUAUUCAACUCUACACUUGUAUGAUGCGUUUGCUCUCCAAACAGAUGGAAGAGAUAAAGUUAGCAAUAGCAUUGUUCAGUGGGUACAUCACUAACCAAAUAUAGCAAUGAAUAACAUGGCUGCCCCUAGAUGGGAGACUGCUGAACAUCCUGUCCUUAACAAUCGAACCAGAAGUCCUGUGAAUCAUUUGUCUAGUGAUGAUUCAAAAGUCACCUGUUGAUGAGAUGUCAAUCUCCAGAACUUGGAUGUCCAGUACCAGGAGUCCACCUUCAACAUUAUGAGUUUGAUAAGAGUCUUGUUCGCUUCACCUCCAUUCCCUAUUUUCGGUUCAAAAUUAUGAGCUACAACAUCUUGGCCCAAACUUACGUUGAGAAGAACCUCCAAAACUCAUACUACUACAAGCAGUGUCCCUCCAGAUGUCUGGAAUGGGAUUAUCGUAGGGGUAUUCUACAAUCAGAGAUUCUGUUUGAGUCACCUGAUAUUAUUUGCCUGCAGGAGGUGGAAGCUAAUGAGAAGGUACGGGAGGAGCUAUUUCGCCCCUUUAAGGAACAGGGUAUGUGAAUGAUACUGUGUCAGUUUUGAUGACCUUCAUUGGACAUUUUUAUGUAAUAUUAUACAAUGUUUGAAGGUUUUACAAAAAGGAUUAAUCAGUAGAGAGCCUAUCAUUAUUGGAGGUUUGAAAUGUUAAAAGUUGUACAAACCAAAAUCAAUAUAGUGCAGAUUUAAAGUUAUAUUUCAUUUACAUUAUUUAAAAAAUUUUGAUUUUACAUUCACACGCGUUACAAGACUUAUUUUAUGUUUCACUGUUUGCAACACAACUUACACGUUCAUUUGUAACUACAUACAAUUACAGUAGAACCUCUCAUCGGAACACCCAAGAGGUCGGAUAUCGGGAAGAGCAAAAAACGCACUUUCUUAGGUAGAAAAAACUACAUGUAAGCAGUGUACUACAUUAAGCAAACAACUCUCUUGUACUUGUAAAUACCAGCAUUCGUUUGUUGUUGAAUAUAUUUCAUACAUUUACAGUUUUUAAAUUAAAUGAAAAUGUGAAUAGACUAAAGUAUAAGCACAUGUAUACUGUACAGUACCUUAUUUAAAGAAUUCAGUAAUGAAUUUUUGUUUUCAAUUUUGACAAUCUUGACGUUGCGGAAUUGUCCCUCCAUUUUUUUGUCCAAAAUACAUCCAUCAGGGUUGCACUUGGGUGUUGCUCUAAAGUACAAUGUCGAAGGCAUCUUUAGCAGCAGAGUAACUUGCUUCGUUGUCACUUGUGGUUUACUCUUCAUCCGAGUCAAUUUCUUCUUCCUCGGCUUCAUUAUGCAUAAUAGCAAUGAUUUGGCCGUCGCUGAGAUCUUUAUUGGCUGCAACUUACGAAACAUCACCUUCAAAAAAUCACUCUUCUUCAUCUUUCAACUGAAGAUUGUGCUGAAACUGGUAGAUUUUGUAAUGUUUCUGUUUUGUCUGUCUCAACAUCUGCUUCUGUCGAAGUUGGCUCAUGAUCAGUCUCAGAUUUUUCUUGUUUCAAUGAUGGCCAAAUCUUUUUCCAAACCUUUUGAAGGGUGGUUUGUUUAAUUUCAUAUAAAGCUGCAGGAACAAUAUAGAUGGCAUCUUUUAUAUUUAAACUUUUCAUUGCCUUAAAAAGAUUACAUCCUUCUUCUGUUUUUUCCACGAGAGAGACGAAAUAUUUUUAUCUGUAUCUUCUCUUUAACCGCUCAAUGACGCCCUGGUCCAUAGGCUGUAUUAUAGAUGUAAUGUUGGGCAGUAAAAAUGAAGCCUUGAUGUUUCCUUUUUUUAGUUAAGAUUCAGAAGAGUAACUGGGAACGUUAUCUAAAAGCAAAA